GGUGGUUCUCGGGUGAUGCACCCUAGAAUUGGGCUCCCUCCUCUCUGGUUCCUGGUGUAUCACCCGAGAACUGCA
rfam:Myotis brandtii contig219508, whole genome shotgun sequence.